ACGGAAGGCAGCAGUGGGGAAUAUUGGGCAAUGGGCGGAAGCCUGACCCAGCAACGCCGCGUGAGGGAAGAAGGUUUUCGGAUUGUAAACCUCUGUCCUUGGUGACGAAGGGAGUGACGGUAGCCAAGGAGGAAGCCCCGGCUAACUACGUGCCAGCAGCCGCGGUAAUACGUAGGGGGCGAGCGUUGUCCGGAAUGACUGGGCGUAAAGGGCGUGUAGGCGGCGCUGUAAGUCCGGAGUGAAAGUCCUGCUUUCAAGGUGGGAAUUGCUUUGGAGACUGCAGAGCUUGAGUACGGAAGAGGUAAGUGGAAUUCCCGGUGUAGCGGUGAAAUGCGUAGAUAUCAGGAGGAACACCGGUGGCGAAGGCGGAUUACUGGACGACAACUGACGCUGAGACACGAAAGUGUGGGGAGCAAACAGGAUUAGAUACCCUGGUA
rnacentral:rRNA from 1 species